AUUGAACGCUGGCGGCGUGCUUAACACAUGCAAGUCGAUCGGUAACAGGUGUAGCAAUACAUGCUGACGAGAGGCGGACGGGUGAGGAACGCUUGGGAAUCUGCCUAUCAGCGGGGGACAACCCGGGGAAACUCGGGCUAAUACCGCAUACGCUCUACGGAGGAAAGCCGGGGACCGCAAGGCCUGGCACUGAUAGAUGAGCCCAAGUCGGAUUAGCUAGUUGGCGGGGUAACGGCCCACCAAGGCGACGAUCCGUAGCUGGUCUGAGAGGACGAUCAGCCACACCGGAACUGAGACACGGUCCGGACUCCUACGGGAGGCAGCAGUGGGGAAUAUUGGACAAUGGGGGAAACCCUGAUCCAGCGACGCCGCGUGGGUGAAGAAGGCCUGCGGGUUGUAAAGCCCUUUCGGUAGGGAAGAAAUCUCUUGCUCUAACACGGCAGGAGUUUGACUUAACCUACAUAAGAAGCACCGGCUAACUCUGUGCCAGCCGCCGCAGUAACAC
rnacentral:rRNA from 1 species